CAGGGCGUAGCUAUAAAACAAAGCACUCAGCUUACACCUGAGAGAUAUCUGCCCCACCCAGAUCGCCCUGA
rnacentral:tRNA from 1 species